AACGAACGCUGGCGGCAUGCCUAACACAUGCAAGUCGAACGAGACCUUCGGGUCUAGUGGCGCACGGGUGCGUAACGCGUGGGAACCUGCCCUUAGGUUCGGAAUAACUCCCCGAAAGGGGUGCUAAUACCGGAUAAUGUCUUCGGACCAAAGAUUUAUCGCCUUUGGAUGGGCCCGCGUUGGAUUAGCUAGUUGGUAGGGUAAAAGCCUACCAAGGCGACGAUCCAUAGCUGGUCUGAGAGGAUGAUCAGCCACACUGGUACUGAGACACGGCCCAGACUCCUACGGGAGGCAGCAGUGGGGAAUAUUGGACAAUGGGCGAAAGCCUGAUCCAGCAAUGCCGCGUGAGUGAUGAAGGCCUUAGGGUUGUAAAGCUCUUUUACCCGGGAUGAUAAUGACAGUACCGGGAGAAUAAGCUCCGGCUAACUCCGUG
rnacentral:rRNA from 1 species